UGGGGAAUAUUGGACAAUGGGCGCAAGCCUGAUCCAGCCAUGCCGCGUGAGUGAUGAAGGCCCUAGGGUUGUAAAGCUCUUUCGCCAGGGACGAUAAUGACGGUACCUGGAUAAGAAGCCCCGGCUAACUUCGUGCCAGCAGCCGCGGUAAUACGAAGGGGGCUAGCGUUGUUCGGAAUCACUGGGCGUAAAGCGCACGUAGGCGGAUCUUUAAGUCAGGGGUGAAAUCCCGAGGCUCAACCUCGGAACUGCCUUUGAUACUGGAGGUCUCGAGUCCGGGAGAGGCGAGUGGAACUGCGAGUGUAGAGGUGAAAUUCGUAGAUAUUCGCAAGAACACCAGUGGCGAAGGCGGCUCACUGGCCCGGUACUGACGCUGAGGUGCGAACGCGUGUGGAGCAAAACAGGAUUAGAUACCCUGGUAGUCCACGCCGUAAACUAUGGAUGCUAGCCGUUGGGCAGCUUGCUGUUCAGUGGCGCAGCUAACGCUUUAAGCAUCCCGCC
rnacentral:rRNA from 1 species